rnacentral:lncRNA from 1 species
AACCAGCCUUAAGUCAUUGCACAGUGAUAAACAAACAAAUAAAUAGCAGUAUCAGAGUCUUCGAUUAUUAAAGCUACCACGAGAGUGCAUGAUCGGUUAUAACAGAUUAUAAAAGAAUCUGUCCGUCGCAAAUUAAUUUUCAUCAUGGCGGGGAAAGCUUUUGAUCUAUAUCAACGGGAAAUGUGCUGAUUUAACCUUUUUUAAACAGAACAUUUUUGUUUUACAUCUUUAUGUGACUGAGACAGGAGAGUGGCUGUGAAACUGAGCAAGUUUAACAAGAGCAAAAGUAGAUGCAAAGAGUUAGUUGUAUUGGAUGCUCCACAACCGUGCAUCUUGACAUCUUGAAGUUUGUUAUACGUAACCGUAACCCUUAUCGAUAAGUUGCUUGGGCUCUUCUCAAAACCUAGUGUCAUUUGUGCAUGGUCAGAAAAGUGGACAAAUACAAAUAUCAAAUAAUUUUUCCGCAUUUCCCUCUAUUAACUUCUGUUUCAAAUAUUAAUUUUUAGACAUAUAAUUUUUUUUCUCUAAUAUGCGUCCUUCCGGGCUGUAGACGAAGAACUAGAAAAGAAGCCAAAGAAGAGAAGAAAACGGACAAAGGAACUUCCAAAAGAAGACAGCAGUGACGAUGAGCAAGCUGUGACGAAUGAUGAACAAGACAAAAAGGUCGCCUCCGACCAAGGUUCUUCAAGAAGUGACAGUCCAUUGCCGCAACAGCAGUCUCGGCAAACAGAGAACGGCACGGCAAGACGACGAAAGAGAAAAAGACAACUUAAGUCCAAGACCUACAUGAAUGAUGAGGGGUUUAUGGUCACCGAGAAAGUCUGGGAGAGCGACUCGACUGAUGCAAGUGAUGAUGAUCUUCAAAUAACUAAUGAUCCGCCAGUGAACGAGAAAAGACCGUCCCCAGCAAAGAAAGCAAACAAGAAGGCAUAUACAGAUACGAAGAGCAAAUCCACCAAGCAAGCUUCUUUAACAAGCUUCUUCAAGAAAUCGUGAAAGAAAUUUUCUGUAAACUAAUUGUACUGAUAUUUAAAUACGAAAAUGAAUAUGCAGUUGUACAAUGACAAAACCAUACAUUCCAUUCUUUGGAAUCAGAUCCUUUCCCAUUUCAUUUCUUUGACAACGUGCUGUCGGCCUUUUAGCCCAAGUAUUGGGUACUCGUUGAUGGCAGGGUCUGUGGUUGGUCCCCCGUGGUGAGGUAACUCCCAUAUAAACAAAACGGGGGUGCUCGUCGUAUCUUUCAGGGGUUAAAGAAGCGGAGUUGUUACCUCUUAGGAUGUUCAGCCUCAAAAGGUCCACGACGUGAGAAUUCCCGGAACCUUUUAGGGUAUUAAUCGGAAAAUAUGACAGCAGAUUAUGUGUUUUUUUUUAGAAUUGAUACCUCUAAGGGGUGAAAAAAAUUUCAAGCCACGCCCACAAAACAGGAUCUUGGUACCCCCAAGGGGUUCUUUUCAAAGAGUUCGACGAGCAUCCCCGUCCUUUGCAUAUCAUUAUGGGAAUCCUCCCCUCCCUGGUCUGGUCGUUGUGGGAGAUGGCUCUUUUACUGGGUCAAGAGGGGCUCAAAUGUAGUUGCCUAGAGUUGGUGGGUUUAUUUUAAUUAGCCCAUAAAUUCGCUGGGAACGUCACUGAAUGGGAUUACGGCUUGGGGAAAGGAGAGGAUUGGUGCGAAGGGUUGGGUAAGGAAGUGAAACCUGUAACAUUAAGCAGCAACUGCACAGUACCACGCAAUAUUCCAACCGUCAAGGUUAAGAAAAAAUAACAAGUGAAUAAUUUCUUUUUUUGUUCAUUCCCUUAGCCUCAGAGUCGAGUUAGAUUUGUAAUAUAUCGAGCCUGCCGUAUUAUUGGGGAAAAAAAUCUUGCUGGAUAGAAAGCAACUGUAUCAAGUCACUGACCUGAUGUUUUGCGCUUUUAUUGACAGAGUGGGAAGUAAUUUUUAAAAAGACAAUGUCUGCUUGAUCUUCCUGAACUAUACUUUGCAUUAUGUAUUUCCUGCUAGAGAGGCGCUUUUGCUUAGUGGGUGUUGGAAGGUUUUGUCCGCGUGUCUGGCGGCCAUCACCAUGAUAGAGGGAUUUGGGACGAGAUUGCGAAGGCUUGAAGUGGGUGAGGAAGAGAUAGGAAUAACGGCUGCCCGCAAAGCCUGAGAAAUAAACAAGUGCACACUAA